AUAUUGUGCGGAAGUAUUUUCAGUUGCUCUUUUUUCUUGUUCUUUAUUCUUCCCUUUUUGUUUCUUACUACUCCUCCUUUCUUUCUUUUCUUCACUGCAACACAGUUUCAAUGAUUGAUUCAUUCAAGAAGCAUGCUUGCAUCCUUUUCUCUAUUCAUCCGUUAACUUAACUAAAGUUUUAUUGUUGAUUCAAGUGGAGCAUAUUUCAUAAUGCAGUUGUGCUUUCAGCUUUAGCACAAAUAAAUAAUCAUGGUGCAUACUCUCAUGUGAAGAAUGUUAAUGUUUUAUAGUUUGUGAUAUUUGGAACUGAAUAUUUUUGUAUAGUAUGGAAUAUGGAUUGUAAUGGCAAGUAUUUUUUGAUGUUCGGUUGACCCUUUUGGUUACAUCCAAUUAAAUGAAAAUGCAAACACUUCCAUCAAACUGAGGCAUAGCAAUAAUCUUCCAUGGUUUUAAAUGAAAGUUCUUUCCUGGGUGCCACUAAUAUAUUGUGGAUUACUUUUCUUAAUACUCAAUAAGCAUGUAUGACCAUUUUUUGGGAUUGUGCUUUUUAUGCAACUUUGUUUUGGUUAUUUCUUUGGACAGUAAAUGUAAAUGCUAGGAUCUUUGAGAAUAAGAUUGAAGAGGCGGCCUCUUGAUGGAUAAAAUUUGUUAUCCAUCAUCCUUUUGGGUUUCAGUCUCCUCCCCCUUUAGAGGAAUUCCUUUUAUUAUUAUUAUUAUUAUUGGGGAAAUCUCAAAAUCAGUUGGACAGUGGGAAGCAAAUCUCAUUUUCUCUGUGGUGCAAGUCUAUCAUGUGUGGGGUGCAAGUCCUUUCUUGUAUAGGGUGCAAGUCUUUCCUGUGCACCCAAAAGAUUCCCCUAUAUAUUUUUCAUUUUUUAUUUUAUAUGAGGGCAGUGUGUGUUAUAUAUUGUGCAAGAUUUAUCUUUGUUUUUGUUUUUCAUUUCUUGGACGACCCCAUAAUGUUUUGUUUUUCCCGCUAAUGAAACAAAAUGUGAUGCAGAAUAGGAUUAAAGAACACACAUUUAUUAAAGGAUGGGAAUUCACCAUGGCUGUUGUCAUAGGGUCAAUUUUCAGCCACAAAUUUUUGCUUGCAAUGGUACUAAGUCACAGUACUUAGUCUCAGCCAAACAAUGCAACACUCACCUACACAACAAGGUUUGACAAGUAAUAUAGAGUUCACAGACACAGCAGCAAUUAUGGGAAACCCAACCUUUAUUAUUGCACCAAUAAUACAAAGGAAAGUCAAGGCAACUCUACAACACUUGAUGAAUUUCGAGUGCCAUAGCCAUGCCUAUUUAAAGGCUUACAAUCAGAACAUUUGAAUUCGAAUAGGCAACCAAAACAUAAGGAAAACAUGCCACAUGGCAUGAUAGUUGACACCCCAACUGCCAAAGGGUUUAGGACAAAUUUGAAGUAAGCCAACAUGUGUAACUGCCACAUUUCAACCUUCCCUUAUCCUUGCCAGCAUGUCUUUGGUCUGCAUAACCACCCCUAUAUUUUAGGCUUGCCUUUGUCUUGCCUCUAGACAAUUUGAACCGCCCAUGUCCAAGCCAAACGCAGCCUUGAGUGGCUGUUGUUUGUCUUGGUCAAGCCUAAUGCGCCUUGUUUUCCAGCCAAGUGCCAAUCAUGCCUUGUUGUCUAGCCAAGUCAAGCCAUCUAAUUGUAUUGAACCUCCAAGUGUGUUGCAGCCUACGAUUCAAGUCACGUUGGUACCUUGCAUCUUGUUAAGUGUUAGGGUAAUUAUGUAAUUUGUGUUAACCUAUUAUUAUUAUAAAUAGUUGUGUGGAAGGGGUGAACCCUAAGUUUUAGUUUAAUAUUAUUUUUCAGCCGCCCCUCUCUCUCUCUUUCAUUCUUCAACUUCUUCUAUACAUUCAACUUGGUAUUGGAGCAACAUCUUCCUCCUUGAAGAUUGUUCCUUUCGUUUCUCUCAUUUUUUUCCCUUUAUCAGUUGUGUAAAAAAAAAAAAAAAAAAAUUCCUGUGUGCUUUUAAUUUAAUAGGUUUAUACCCUAUAAUUUUCUUUUAAUUUUUUGCUCAUUGUUUGAUUGGUUUUUCAAUUUUUUCGGUUUUUCAUCAAAACUGGGUGAUUUUUCAAAAGUCUUUGCUUGAGCCCCUUUUGGCUGGAAUUUUUUCCUCCCCCUCUCUUCCUUUGGAGUCGAUUGGAACCUUAAAGGGGUUUGUUGUCCAUGUUUUGAGGUUUUUUGAUACUUCCUUUGAGUUUUUGUGAGUUUUGGAUGGUCUGCUUCGGUUUUCUUGCUUCAAGUUGAUCUGGUUGCUUUGUUCUGGGGUAAUCUUGCACUGUUUCAGCCUUUGAAGGUGAGUUGCCGUGUUGGUUGGGUGUUUUCUGGAUUUGAUUGAUAUCUUACUUGUGUUUUUGCAUCUUGUUUCUCUCAUCACAUGGCUGAAAGCAAGGGUCAAGCAUCUAAGGCCAAAGAAGAGAGUGGGCUGAGUCGUGUCUUGCUAUUGUUGCUCGCCGUUUGAUUGGCUAUAUUACCGGUAGCAUCAAGCAACCUGAUGCGGAUGAAGCUUUGUCCACUCAAUGGAUUUUUGAGAAUGCUUUGGUUAUGACUUGGCUGAUCAACUCUAUAGAGCCUACCAUUAGUCGGACUUUCUCUUAUUGGAUAUUGCUCACAAGAUUUGGACAACUGCCGCUCAGAUGUAUUCUCAAAAGGGUAAUGAUGCACAGGUCUAUGAGUUGAGAAAGAAGAUUAGGGGCUUGGAUCAGAGGGAUCGUUCUCUUGCAGUAUACUAUGCUGUGUUGAGUGGCUUGUGGCAGAAAGUUGAUUACUACCAGAGUUUCCUGGUUGUUUGUUUCAAGGAUGCCACUAUGUUUCAGCAGUCUGUGGAGAAUGAGCGUGUUUAUGACUUUCUUGCUGGCCUGAAUUUGGAGUAUGAUCAGAUUUGUGUUCAAUUGUUGGGCUGCUCUCCGUUUCCCACCUUGUGCAAGGCUUAUGCUCUUGUUCAGUAGGAGGAGAGUCGGCGUAGAGCUAUGGUGCAAACCUCUAUUCAGGAUCAGUCUACGUUGGUUGCAGCUCCUAAGUCAUGUGAUACUCAGCUUAGUUAGCCACAGGUUGGUAGUAAGGGUCCCUUGUUUGAUCAGGAUCGGUUGAAGUGUGAUUAUUGUGGGAAAGACAAACAUGAUAGGGAGCACUGUUGGAAGUUGCAUGGUCGUCUUACUCAAGGCCGUGGUCAUGGUAGUAGUGUUUGUCCUCAAGCUCAUGUUUCCGAGAUUCCUGCUAGUGCCCCCAGUGAUACUGGUCCUAUUUCCCAAGAUGAGCUUCACACUCUCAUACGUUUGAUGGCCCAGCUUGAUUCUUCAUCUACUUUAGCUCUUUCUUCCUCUGCUUUUUUCAACUUUGCCCACACAGGGGGAGAGUGUUGCAGAUGAGAUUGUAGAUGAGGCGAUGUCAUAUCAACAUGAGUUAUCCUUUUUCCUUCCCAGUCAGCGGGCUGUUAUUUGUGGUGAGAGGUAACCUAAGAGUUCUGUUGAUGAGGAGCCUGCAUCGGUGGUCGUUUGGACCGGGUUGAUGUUAAGACUUAUUUUUGGCGUCAGAAAAAGUAGAUUUCUCCCGUGCUACCAAGUCAAUCAUCAUCCCUCAUGGCAGUUCUAUAUCCAGCUUCCGCUGAAUCUACAGGUAAUGAUCCCUAGCCUAAUUCUUCACCAGUUGUUGGUAGUCUUAUUGUUGAUGAUUUGAGUCUCCUUAUUGCUCUUAGAAAGGGGGUUAGAGCAUGUACUCAACACCCCAUUUCUUUGUUUUUAGCCUAAUUCUUUGUUUUUUUUAUGACUUGCUCACCCAAAAAAAAAAAGCACCCCAUUUCUAAAUUUGUGUCAUAUAAUUCAUUUUCUUCUACAUAUCGUACCUUUGUUUCGUCUCUGUCUUCUGUGUGUAUCCCAUAGGGUUGGAAAGAAGCUAUCAAUGAUCCUAAGUGAAAAAUAAUUAUGGUAGAAGAGACACAAGCUCUGAGCAAAAAUAACACUUGGGAGUUGGUUUCUCUUCUUAAUGGAAAAAAAAUCAGUAGGGUGUAAGUGGGUGUUCACCAUUAAACAAAAAAUAGAUGGGAUGAUUGAACGGUACAAAGUAAGACUAGUGGUUAAGGGAUUUACCAAGACAUGGAAUUGACUAUUAAGAAACUUUUGCCCCUAUAGCGAAGCUAAAUUCCAUUUGAGCUAUUCUUUCAUGUGCUGCUAACUUGGGAUGGCCUUUACAACAAUCAAAUGUGAAGAAUGCCUUUCUUUAUGGUGAUUUGGAGGAGGAAUUACAUAUGGAUGUACCUCCAGGAUUCUCGUCUCGGUCUAAACCAAACCAAACCAAACCAAACUAAACCUUAAGUCUCAUCAAAUGGGGUCGGCUGUAUGAAUCAUUCUUCUCCAUUCGACUCUAUCCAAGGCCAUUUCGUUAGUCAGAUUAAGGAGAUUCAUAUCUCUAUUUACUACAGUAGUCCACGUCAAUCUAGGCAUACCCCUUCCCCUAACAUUACCAUCUACUAUUACUGUAUCCUUCUCUUAACUACUGCCUUUGUAUAUAUGACCAAACCAUCUCAAUUUAUUCUCUCUUAACUUAUCUUCUAUCGGUAAUACUCUUACCCAUUCUUGAAUAUACUCAUUCCUAACUCUGUCUUUUCUGGUCUUGCCACACAUAAGUAUCCUCAUCUUAUUUACAUGUUGUUUCUUAGUUGCCCAACAUUCUGUCCCAUACAAUAUCGCUAGUCUAAUAGCCAUUUUAUAGAACUUUCCUGUUUAGUCUAAUGAGUACUCGUUUAUCGCAUAGUAUUCUAGACGCACUCCUCCACUUAAGCCAUCCUGCCUUAAUUCUAUGGACCAUUUCCGCUCCAAUCUUUCCAGUCAUUGUGAUAAUCGAUCCUAAAUAACGAAAAUGUUCACUCUUAGGUAAUUCUUGGUUAUCAAUCUUCACUUCUCCUCUACUUCUGUUGUGACUGUUACUAAAAUUACUCUAUAUAUACUCUGUCUUAGUUCUGCUUAUCCUAAAUCCUUUUAGUCUCAUCCACUAACACGAUAUCAUUUGCUAAAAGCAUACACUAUGGCACAUCAUCUUGAAUUUUGCGCGUCAACUCAUCUAUAACUAAAGCGAAGAGAUGUUUAUCAAAAAAAAAAAAAAAAACACUAAAGCGAAAAGAUAAGGGCUUAAGGUUGAUCCUUGGUGUAACCCUACAAUAAUUGGAAAUUCACUCGUCUCUCUAGGAGGCGAUCUAAUAGUGGUUACCACACCUUCAUACAUAUCCCUAAUCACAUCAAUGUAAGCUUUUGUCACCCCUUUCUUCUCU